rnacentral:rRNA from 1 species
UGGGGAAUAUUGCACAAUGGGCGAAAGCCUGAUGCAGCAACGCCGCGUGAGUGAUGAAGGCCUUCGGGUUGUAAAGCUCUGUCUUUUGGGACGAUAAUGACGGUACCAAAGGAGGAAGCCACGGCUAACUACGUGCCAGCAGCCGCGGUAAUACGUAGGUGGCAAGCGUUGUCCGGAUUUACUGGGCGUAAAGGAUGCGUAGGCGGAUUUUUAAGUGAGAUGUGAAAACCCUAAGCUUAACUUGGGGACUGCAUUUCAUACUGGAAAUCUAGAGUGCGGGAGAGGAGAAUGGAAUUCCUAGUGUAGCGGUGAAAUGCGUAGAGAUUAGGAAGAACACCAGUGGCGAAGGCGAUUCUCUGGACCGUAACUGACGCUGAGGCAUGAAAGCGUGGGUAGCAAACAGGAUUAGAUACCCUGGUAGUCCACGCCGUAAACGAUGAGUACUAGGUGUAGGAGGUAUCGACCCCUUCUGUGCCGCAGUUAACACAAUAAGUACUCCGCCUGGGAAGUACGAUCGCAAGAUUAAAAACUUAAAUGAAUUGACGGGGUCAUAGU